AGUAAAUCUCACCCUUCGAGUCCUCCCACAACAGGGAGUGACAUUACUACAGAUAGAUUAAAACUAUAGUGUUAGAAAUAGCUUAGAUUUUUAAACACCAGACCUGGAUUGACAAUCCAGGCCUUGAUUUAAGCUAUCUGGCAGCAUUCAGUCUAGUUGAAAUUUGGUCCAAAUUCAGGCUCAUUUGGAGCCUGCAAUAAAAUCCAG